UAAACGAUGAUAAUCUGUUUUUCACCCGCAGGAAAUCCUAAAACGUGCCAAGAAAAUAUUUCACGACGCGGAAAAGAAUGUUCCAAGCUACGGCUCGGAGCACAAGAGCAUCCUGCAUCAUGACAUGAGAUGGUUUAUGUUGCCUGAGGAAGCUGCUGGCGUGAUUUCUGGCGACCCGGUGAUACAUCUUCCGCCGGAUGAUCUUCCCUUCUUCCCGGGCGCCCUGGCGAGGAGACUUGGCUUGAGCGUGGUCGACCACAAAGCUCGGGCCUCCAUGGACAAGGACUUCCCCGUGGAGUACUGAGAGACACGUCACCUCGCUAGACGACUAUAGAGACAUCCUGGGAACUGAGCCUGCAGAGCUGAAGUUGACACUUUCCUUUGGGGAAGUAGGGAAUUCAGUAAAUUAACUGUAAUUUUGCCCGGGGGGGAGCGGAGGGGUUGGGGGGUAUGGUGGAUAGUUUACAUAAAUUCCAUUGCAAUUCAAUAAACAAUUAAUUUAGCCCCCCGGGGGGGGGGGGGGUGUUUUGACAUAAACUUCGUUGCCUAUAACUGCUCAGGAAUAAACUCUUUGCUUUGAGGAGAAUGAUAUGCCAACAAACUUUUCUAUACUUUGAGAAGGAUGUUAAGCCAACAAACUUUUCUAUAUUUUGAGGAGGAUGUUAUGCCAACAAACUUUUCUAUAUUUUGAGGAGAAUGCUCUGUCAACAUACUCAACACUUUGAAAAGAAUACUCUGCCGACAAACCAACAAACUAUGUAUGAACCUUGAGGAGAAUACUCAGCUAAUAAUCUCCAAACUUAACAGGGAAAAAAACCCUGCCAAUGAACUCUUUACUUUACACUGAAAGUGUUCUAUUAACUAUCUCUACUAACCAAUUAGAAAAUACACAAAUGUGAAUUUUAAACGUGGUAAUGGGUUACUCAGCCAAUAAACUGAAGACUUUGUAAGGAAUUACUUAGCCUAUGAACUACAGACUUUGUAAGAGAUUACUCGACUAAGAAACUGUAGACUCGAUAAGCGAAUUUCCAGCACCCUGCUACUCUUUAGCAUAAUCAAAUAGUUGUCCAAAAUGAAUUGAUUAAUGCUUUAGGAGUUCCGACUAGCCGGUCGAAAAGAACAGCUGCCCUGAUAUCGCUCUUGCUUUUCGUGGCGUCUGUACCCCGUUUUCGGGGGGCCUUUUGUGGUAAGAGUGAUUGCCUUCCUGGGGCGAGAUACCGAGAACUCUAGUAAUUGGUGCUAUACUUUACUUUUGUUCCCUUUUUCCAUCCUUCUUUUAUCUUCCGGUGUCGAGGGGAGAAGCAAUAAAUGUCUUUCUUUUGUUUGUUGCGCAUCACCUAUUAUAAAUUUUGAUUAGUGAUACUUUGAUCCCCAUGAUCCAUCUUUUCACGGGCCUUUCUCUUCCUCUGUAUCCAUCUGAUCUUUGCUGUAUGCUCUCGCUGCUAUACUGGUGCUAUAGAGGGAGCAAAAGACCAAAUAGCCGGGAUUUUAGGACAUUUCAGAAUUUUGAUGGAUAAGGCGUGGGUGGAGUGAGGGAAAGGGGGGGGGGAGUUAUUCUUUUCUUCAUAUUAUCAGUAUUUUUUUUCCUUCUCAGUUGUUCUUCUAUUGAUAUCUUUGCAUAGAAAACGUUUAAUUAACGGCCAGCAAGGUCGGGAUUUGUCCCUGCAGUAUUCCUUGUUUCUUUCUUUUGAAUGUCGUGUCUCUGGUAUAUGUGUAUGUGACAAUACAUGUACUGCAAAGUGUGGUUUCAUGGCAUAUGAACGCCUUGUAGAAAGACGUUUGAGGUGCAGGAGACACGUACCUAAUCUGCUACGCAGAAGUUUAAGGUUCCAAUCUAGGUAGCGCUCGAUAUUUUUUUCCUCACUCUUCCAGUCAUACAUCCUCCAAGCUCUGUGCCUUGGAGAUGUAUGAAGUGCUGCCUCUUUUAAUGAAAUUACCUAGCCGACCCGUUUUUGUGAAAUGCCAGUCUUCAAGCACAAUAUUAUACGUAUGUCUGCUUGCUGAAGGUUGGCUUUAUACUUCUAUUCAGGAGAUUGUUUUUUGUUUUGGUGGGGGUGCUUUAUUUAUAAUUGUUCAACACCAAAGCUUUGAUAACCUGACCUAAUAUGUGUGAUUUUUUAAAAAUCUUUUAUCAUUUUGUUUAUAUUUCUCCUUUAAUUAGGUUUUGAUCGAUGCCUUUAUAUUUCCUUUUCAUUAUGAACUAAAUGUGUGCUUCAGAACAAGUUGACGUAAAAGAUGUCAAUAAUUAUAUUCGAUUUUUGUAUGUGUGUAUUUGUGUGUGUGUGUGUGUGUGUGUGUGUGUGUGUGUGUGUGUGUGUGUGUUUAUGUGAGUGUACUCUCUUUCGCUUUAAUGUGCGUCAGGGAGGGUUCAGUAGACGAAAAUACACAGUGAUGUUCUAUCGGCAG